rnacentral:rRNA from 1 species
UACGUAGGGUGCGAGCGUUAAUCGGAAUUACUGGGCGUAAAGCGUGCGCAGGCGGUUCGUUAAGUCAGAUGUGAAAGCCCCGGGCUCAACCUGGGAACUGCAUUUGAAACUGGCGGGCUUGAGUGUGGCAGAGGGGGGUGGAAUUCCGCGUGUAGCAGUGAAAUGCGUAGAUAUGCGGAGGAACACCGAUGGCGAAGGCAAUCCCCUGGACCUGUACUGACGCUCAUGACACGAAAGGCGUGGGGAGCAAACGAGG